AAACCAGGAUUAGAUACCCUAUUAUAUUUAAACAAAUUGGGUAGUAUUAUUAAUAAAAACCUUUAUACUUUGGCGGCAUUUUAUCUUAUUAGAGGAAUAUGUUCAUUAAUCGAAACCACACGAUAGUUUUUACUUACUAUAAAAUUUUAUAUACCCCCGUCUAAAGAAUUUAUUUAAAAUUUUUAUUCCAAAUUAUAUUAAAAAAAGUUAGGUAAAGGUGUAGACUAUUAGUAAGAUUAAAUGUAUUACAUUAAAAAAAAAUUUAAGGAUAAAACAGUUAACUGUUUAUUAAAAGAGGAUUUAUAAGUAAUUUACUUUUAAUAAAAAUUAAUGAAUAAGAAAAUAAAUGUGCACAUAUCGCCCGUCACUCUCACA
rnacentral:rRNA from 1 species